CCAGUAGCUGUGGCCAGGUUGUUGAGUACAGCACAUGCACUGAAGGACCUGCACUGACUACCAGCCAGCUACUAGCCAUGUUCAAGGUUUGUUGCUAACAUACAAAGUCAGUGCUUUUUGGGGAUACGCAGGGGUAUGCAUACCCCUAAACAUUUUUUGAAUCUAAGUUUGGUCUCAUUGAGGGGCAGUGUUUCAAUAUGAGUAGGAAAAUGAGAGUACCCUUAAACAUAUUUUUUUAAAGGAAAGAAACAUAAACAAAUUGGGCCCAGCUUACCUGAAAGAUCCUUUGUACCUACUUGGAUCUUUAAGAUCACUUAGAUGAGUAUCCUUCAACCUUUUCAGACCAGAGAACCACUGUUAACCCAAACAUGCAUUUGGGAGUCCAUUUCUUAAUUUAUAUCAUACAAUUGCAUAGUGGUAGUACUGCUGUUGAAACCCAUCUCAGAUAAGAGCCACCAGCUGAAGACCAAUGACUUAGAUCAGGCAAAGCUUUAGACAUGGCUUCACACCCUACAAAAUAUUUCAGAGUGGUAACCCCAAAACAGCCAUUUUCUGCCAUUGGCCUGUGGAAUGCCCUUCCCUCUGCCAUAUGUGAAACAGAAACCAUCAAUUGCUUUGGAUGUCUUCUAAAUACAUAAUGUUGUAUUGACCUAAUGUGUCCUGUGUGCAAGAGCACUGCGCAAGGUCAUCUGCUUGUGCAAUGAGCUCCCUCACACUUUCCGUCCCCCCCAACCCCCCAAAUUGGCUGAACCUCCAAAACAGCACAUAUGUGGUACACACUUUGCUUUUUAGAGUACAGGAAGCAACACAGCAGGCGUCAUGAAGAGCUUACAAGCUACACUUUGAUAUAAAAUACAACACAGUUUGAAAGCAAUAGGCAAAGGCAUACUAAAAGGUGACAAAUAUGCAGAAAUGCAGAUGCGAAGACUUAUUUUCAGAAAGGCCAAGUAUAUCCCCUACCUCAUAGGCAUCAGCUUACAUUCUGCCUCAUGAUUCUCUUGAAAUUCUCUGCUUCACAAUUACUACUUCUCAAAUUCAAACUUUUUUCAAACACUUCGCAGUUUUACAUUAACAGUGUGGUUUCUUGCUAUCCAAGCACAUGUAAUCUCUCCCCCCACCCACCCCAAUCCCUGAUAUAUCUUAGGCUAAUAUUAAAAUCACCCUUACUUCCUUGAUCUUGCACACUGCCAUGCAGGUCAACCACAGUAUUUAAAUAUUAAAAGGCCUAAAACUAGAACGCACAGGAAAUGGAAUGAACAUUUAAUCCAUAAUUAAUCUAAACUCUUUAAGCAAUAUUAAUUCAUUACUGGACAACUCUAGUAGAUACCAGUAUAAUUCCCAUCUUGCCAUUUAAUUUAUUUAAAAUAUUUUUAUAUGGUCUUCCAUACAAAUCCCAAUGAAGUUUACAACAACUUUGUAAGGUAGAUCACUCAUAAUGGGCAGUAUCCAAUCAAGUACUGUAUCUCUGCUAAUGCAAGGACUUUCAGCUGUGCAAUGGAACUUCCCUUCCCUAUCCGCUCCCUGCAUGGUCCCUGAAUCUGUUCUGGAAUUUCCCCAACUCUCUGAAGCAGAUUUGGGGAAUGCGUGGGGUGCACUGCAAGAGGAGAGGGAGGUCUUGUUCCAUUGUUGUUGUUGUUUAGUUGUUUAGUCGUGUCCGACUCUUCGUGACCCCAUGGACCAGAGCACGCCAGGCACUCCUGUCUUCCACUGCCUCCUGCAGUUUGGUCAAACUCAUGUUAGUAGCUUCGAGAACACUAUCCAAGCAUCUCGUCCUCUGUCGUCCCCUUCUCCUUGUGCCCUCAAUCUCUCCCAACAUCAGGGUCUUUUCCAGGGGUCUUCUCUUCUCAUGAGGUGGCCAAAGUAUUGGAGCCUCAGCUUCAAGAUCUGUCCUUCCAGUGAGCACUCAGGGCUGAUUUCCUUAAGAAUGGAGAGGUUUGAUCUUCUUGCAGUCCAUGGGACUCUCGUUCCAUAGUGCAAGCAAAAAAUUGUUGCACUACCAGAAUCACUUUGUUGGAUACUGCCCACUGACCUGAAGUGUUUAAAUUAAGGAGAAGUCUUAAUUUUUCUUAAAUGAAUGAAAAAAACCAACAAAAAAACCAACAAAACCAGUUCUUCUGCUUGUUAUUAACCACAAUUAUAACCAAAUACAGGAAUACCAGCUGAAAUUCCUGCUGUAAGUGGACAGUAAAGGUAAAGGUAAAGGAUCCCUGACAGUUAAGUCCAGUCGCAAACAACUCUGGGGUUGCAGCGCUCAUCUCGCUUUACUGGCCGAGAGAGCAGAUGUUUGUCCGCAGACAGUUUUUCCAGGUCAUGUGGCCAGCAUGACUAAGCUGCUUCUGGCGAAACCUGAGCAGCGCAUGCAAAUGCCAUUUACCUUCCUGCCAGAGCGGUCCCUAUUUACCUACUUGCACUGGUGUGCUUUCGAACUGCUAGGUUGGAGCUGGGACCGAGCAACGGGAACUCACCCCAUCACAGGGAUUCGAACCGCCGACCUUCUGAUCGGCAAGCCCAAGAAGCUCAGUGGUUUAGACCACAGCACCACCUGCAUCUCUUAAGUGGACAGUACAUCCACACAAACCAUCACAUGCCAUUCUGGAGUGCCAUCUAACCUUUAAGAAUGGUGGGAAGGUAAAGGCCUAGAGAAGCAAAUGAGGCCACGAUAUUCCACUUGCUAUUUAGAGCUCAGGUUGACUGUAGUAAAUAAUUAAAGAUGGCAUGGAAAGGAAUAAAGCGGAAUAAGGGGGAAUGAAAAAAGUUCUACUUUUCUGCCACACCAUGACAGCUUGUGGUAGUUUAUCAGGAAUCAGCAGCAUGCUAGUGUACACUGACCAAUUACUCUUGCUUUGUUUCUCCCUUGGUACAAGCAGGAUAAACAAACGAGGGACCCUUGGCUUCCCAUUACAUCCAAUUAGAGGUCAUGAGGUUGUUGUUUUUGCUGCCCAACAAGCUGCAAUAAUUAAGCCAACAACAAACCAUAAUCCUUGGUUUGGAUGUAACCAGCUUUGCUGAUUUGUUUAUUCCACUCAUACCAGGGGAAGAGUGAAGCAGGAGCAAUUUGGCAGUAUGCACUAGCACACUGUUUAUUCCCAAUAAACCACAUCAGAAAGGCUGGUUCAUUGUUAUGUGUAGCCAAUAUGUUGUGGCAGUUAAGAGAGGUAGAUCCUGACCAAAAAAAAAUUGACGAUUAUGUCAUUUUUAAUAAAUGCAGCCUGCUGCUGCACUGAUCCAGAAUGCCACAGCCUAAGUCCCAACAAUUAACAUUUAUAAUGGAGCAACCAAAAAUGGGAAAAAGAGAAAAAAAGCCUAAAACCUGCUCUGCACCAUUUGUGAGAUACUAAAUAAACAGCAGCCCACUGGGAUUGUUGUUGAUGAUGUUCCAGUUUUAACAAUCGUGCUGUAUUUGCAAGGCCAAGCAGAGAGCAGAAACAGAAGAUUAACCAAGCUCCUGGCGGGCUGCCAUAUAAAACGAAUGGGGUCAAAUUGUGGCAGUCUGUCCAGGACUCUACCGAGGUAACAGCUGCCUGCAAAACACAUUCUGCCACAGUGAGAAGAAAACAGAAUCAUGUAUGAUUUGCCUCUGGGCAAGUUGAUGGUUUACCUAACUUAACAGAGCAUGCUACACCUUUGCCUAUUGCAUGCUGCUUCCACUUGCCAGAGUAGUGGUACCUUUACAUCUCACUAUUAGCAAUGACAUCUUAAAAGGCAUCAUGAGUACUAUUCAUAAAUAUGUUCCAGUUUCAGCUCCUGUUUUUAGUGCAUCUCACACAUUUACCUAUUUAAAUUCAUUUUCUAGAGUAUGAACAAAAUAACCGAGACUUAAGUUAGAUCAUUAAAUUAAGUAGAAUGUUUUUCAGUGUGCAGUGCUUCCAAAAUAAAAUAUAUGAAGGAUACAACUGAUGCAAAUAACAAGGCUAAAAUUAACUCCAGUUUUAUGUGCACUCAUACUGAUAUAAAUACAAAUAGUACAUUGUGUGUACUUUGUGCAAGUACAAAUUUAUUUAUACAAAUAGUGUAGCGAAACACAUGCAAAACAAUCAGAUCAGAGAUUCACUACAAGGAAGUGCUAUUUUCUUGCAGUUACAAUAAUUGAAUAGUCUGCAAAUUAAUAAUAAAAAAACAGAAUAUGCUAUACCAUAUCAGAAUAAGCUGUGAAUUAAUAGGAAAUAGAACUUUACACAGCUAUGGGGGAUUCUAAUGUAUGUUGCUUGGGAGGUUGUAUAUCUUGUCUGUUGAGGGAUACACACACACACACGGCUGAUAAAUAAAAAUACCUCCACAGUUAAUCAGCACAUUUACUUACACAGAAACGUGGUUCCAUAUCUUCUUAUAUUCAUUAAGAUCAUAUUGGAAAGAAGCCAUAAAAACAGCCUGAGAUAUAUAACUGGCACACAGCAAAACAAAACACCCCCCAAGGUUUAAAAAGUGUAGCAUUAAACAAAAAUAUCAAAUACAAGCAUCUGACUUCAGUGUGGUUCUAACAGCAUUAGCACAGUUUGUCCCCUGAAGCACCAAAUGGCUUAACAGAUGAUAACUCGCUUGCCUUCUGGCCAAAGCAUUUCACACAGCUAUGUAAGUAUUUCUGGCAAAGAUAGCACUAACUCUCAGACUAGUUAGUAGAUGAACAUACAUAUGUCUGUAAGUUUGAUUCAGUACAUAAAUGGUCAGAAAUUAAACAAUGCAAUAAUACCUCACAAGUAAAAACAAAAGCCAGACAACCAAUUUUUGAGUCUCAGAAAGCCUGGAGAGGAGCCUGGGCAAAUAUGAAAGCUGAGGAAGGCUGUGACAUUUCCAAAUUACACAGCUAGAUCUUUGAAAUUUCAAAUAAAAUGCAAUUUCAUUUAUUUAUCACUAAGCACAGCAGCAAGAUACUGUUCAGUCAAUGUUUAAAUCUCAAAAUAAAAAUCAAAAGCACUUUUGCUACCAAAAUCAGAUAAAAACACUCAAUACAAAACAUGGAUGGAUGCAUGGAUCCAUACAGUGCAUGGAUGAAAGAAGGACUGAGGUACAGAACUUCACAAAAACAAUAGCCAAAUACCUUGCAAGCUAUGUGAAAUUCCCAUAACCCAUUCCAAAACACAUUCACUUAAAAUACGGCCCACAGCUUGAAUAUUGCUCAUUUUCCCACAUGUGUCCUGAAUUAACUACCCUGGUUCUGCCCUUCUCCCCCUGCAGGGGCCUAUUUCCAACACUGCAAAAUGAAAGAGAGCUUAGGGACCCCAGGUUCAUGACAUCUAUUAUAAUGAAAAAUUGAAUAAAAAUGUUUUACAAAAAAAAGUUAAUCAAAUUUUAAACUGAAUAUGAAAAGAACGUUAUAGCUAAUAAAAAGAAGCAUCAGAGGGUGACACCAUCAAAUUUAUCCUUAACACAUAUAAAAUGAUGAGCAUGCACAAUUUACCCUGCAUAUCAAUUUUGUUUAAAAAAUAUAGAAGAGCCAUUCCGUUUGCCUUCACACAAAUUCCUGUGUACUUGAAAACUUACUGUAAGAAGGUGAUUCAUCAUUCCUCCUCAAGAAUUAUCCCAUGAUAAUUAAUGAAUACCUAGUAUGUCAGCCUAGAUGCAGCAGAGCACAGAAAAGUACUCUCCAAUCAACUUCCCCUUCCCCCAAGGGAAAUAUUUAGGUCUGUAAUCACUAAAACUUCACACAGGCCCUUUUCAUUCAUUUCUUCCUGCAUGGGCCUUUUAUGCAGAAUAACAUCAACAACAAAACCAAAAUGCAACAACAUGCUGAUUACUUUAAAGGGUAAAUUUGGAUACUGUUGUCAAGCAAUGAGUUCCUUAUCAGAAAAAAAAGAUGUGCUGUGGUUCACACAAAUUUGAUAUUAACAGAAAAAUCAUUAGAGGAAAACCACACAUCCACAUCAGUAAGGGGCUUCAAAUUGAUUCUUGUGUGAAAUAAAGCUUGCAAACUCUGCAUUGCAUUCCAUUACAAAGUGAAGGCUCUUCAAAAUGUGGCUGACCUUUUCACAAUAGCAUUGAUUCAGCUGGAGAGGCUGCAAAACCAAGAAGCAAAUAAAGUUACCUAAAGGGUAACAGGUUAACGUAAGCUGCACAACAUUGUGGCGAGCCUGACCUUCAGAAUUUGAGGUAUCAUCAGUGCCCCCAAACCAAAUAGAGGGGAGAAUGCAUUGCCACAGUAACAAGUAGUCUUACUCCAAAUGACUGUAGACAGAUUCCAAUGGUUUUCAAAGGUUAUCUAAAGAAGGAUAGUCAGAAAAGGUGCAAUCUUUAACAUCUCCCUUAAGCUCACUUUUAAAAUCACCAAAGUAACAAGGCCUGAAGGAGCACUGUGUGCUUUUCUUCAUUUGUCUUGUUGGCAGAUGGUGUUAGGAAUGCAUAAGGUAACUCCACAUUUUUCACUGAUGUUUUUACUUCCUUGAGUGCAUAGUUCAAGGGCCUUAAGGGAUUCUUUGGGUCUGUGCAACUGCAGACAAGGUGAAAGUUAUCAACAAUUUCUGAAAAAGCUGUAAUACGUUUUUCCCCUUGGUUUAAGAUAUGGGGGGGGGAGAACUUGCUUUCUACACAGUUCCACAUCUGCUUAAAACAUCUGUGCAAGACAAAAACAAGUUUGAAAACUUCUUCUAUUUCCACGCAUUCUUUAGCAUCCUUAGAUACAGCAUCAGACUCAUUCUCCUUGACCAUUUCACCCAUAAAGUUGCAUCCCAUGACCAAUUUUUCUAAAUUUUAAUUUAAACAGAAAUUAUUAUAUUCAAUUUGAAUGCCCCCUCCCACAUUCACCAAUGCUUUAUAUUGUUUCAUUGGUAACAUAAGAGGAAAAGUGACUGUUACUCAUAUUUAAUCUAAGGACAACCACAGAUUAGGCAUUUGGCUAAGUUUAAGAAAUUAUUUCUACUGCUCAAUGACUACACAGCAGCAUGACUGAAUAUUCACCUGGUCAUCACUUUUACACUAAAAGUUCUGGUGACAGAUAAUAAUAAUAAUAAUAAUAAUAAUAAUAAUAAUAAUUUAUUAUUUAUACCCCGCUCAUCUGGCUGAGCUUCCCCAGCCACUCUGGGCGGCUUCCAAUCAAGUGUUAAAAACAAUACAGCAUUAAAUAUUAAAAACUUCCCUAAACAGGGCUGCCUUCACAACUGAAUGGCUUAUUGCACUACUGCUGGAUACAGCAUAGUGAAAUCAUUCAAAGUUGUUACACUAAACAGAAAGAGCUGCAGAUGUGGAAUGGACAUACUGAAUAUAACAUGCUAUGUUAAAGUCAUGUUUUACUCACCACACCACUAAUAACACCAUCCACACCAUUGCUGAUAAUAAGAGAAUUGCAACUAGCCAACUUGCUCUGCACUGUGCAGAUAGGAUAUGCCUGUAGUUUAAGACACUCUGUGCACUGUUGCCAUUCAUAUCAUUAGAACUGGGUUGUAAAACUAUGUGAUUUCUCAAUAUGUGAAUUAAGAGACUACAUUUACAAAUGUUCAGGUUGUCCUUACAUUUGCAGAUGCAGUUGCAUAUUCAUUACUUAUACCCCUGUUUCAGCAAUAAAUACAAUAAAGGCACCCAAUUGCAAUCUCUGUGUUAAAGCCUGGGGGGCAAAAAUGACAAAGAUGAAUGAGACAGACACAGUAAUCAAAAUGAAGAUAUGAAGGGAAAUUGGCAAAUGCUUUGCAUAGAGGGACUGUGAUUGUGAAAAGAAAGAAAGAAAGAAAGAAAGAAAGAAAGAAAGAAAGAAAGAAAGAAAAGCUCAUACUCGUAUCUCAAAGCGUUAUAUCAAGGAUUGAGAACAUAUGCAUCUGCUAUUUAUGAAGCCCCCUUCAUGGAUCACUGCCUUGCCGUGGCGAAGGGGCUUGAAGAACUCAGAGAAGCUAUGAACUAUGCCAAGCAGGGCACCCAAGAUGAACAGGUCAUAGUGGAGAGUUUUGACCAAACGUGAUCCACCUGGAGUAGGAACCGGCAAGCCACUCCAGUAUCCCUGCCAAGAAAACUCCAUGGACAAAGACAGGCAUAUAAAAGUUAUGACGCUGGAAGAUGAGCCCCUCAGGUCGGAAGGUGUCCAACAUGCUACUGGGGAAGAGCGGAGGACAAGUACAAGUAGAUCCAGAGCUGAUGAAGCGGCUGGGCCAAAGCCGAAAGGACGCUCAGUUGUGGAUAUGCAUGGAAGCGAAAGGAAAGUCCAAUGCUGUAAAGAAAAAUAUUGCAUAGGAACCUGGAAUGUAAGAACUAUGAACCUGGGUAAGUUGGAUGUGGUCAAAAAUGAGAUGGCAAGAAUAAAUAUUGACAUCCUGGGCAUCAGUGAGCUAAAAUGGACGGGAAUGGGCGAAUUCAGUUCGGAUGACUAUCAUAUCUACUACUGUGGGCAAGAAACCCGUAAAAGAAAUGGGGUGGCCCUCAUAGUCAACAAAAGAGUGGCGAAAGCUGUACUGGGAUGCAGUCUCAAAAAUGAUAGAAUGAUCUCGAUACGAAUCCAAGGCAGACCUUUUAACACCACAGUAAUCCAAGUUUAUGCACCAACUACUGGUGCUGAAGAAACUGAAAUUGACCAGUUCUAUGAAGACUUACAAGACCUUAUAGAAGUGACACCAAAGAAGGAUGUUCUUCUCAUUAUAGGGGAUUGGAAUGCUAAAGUAGGGAAUCAAGAGAUAAAAGGAACAACUGGCAAGUUUGGCCUUGGAGAUCAAAACGAAGCAGGGCAAAGGCUAAUAGAGUUCUGUCAAGAGAACAAGCUGGUCAUCACAAACACGCUUUUCCAACAACACAAGAGACGACUCUACACAUGGACAUCACCAGAUGGGCAACAUCGAAAUCAGAUUGAUUAUAUUCUCUGCAGCCAAAGAUGGAGAAGCUCUAUACAGUCAGCAAAAACAAGACCUGGAGCUGACUGUGGCUCAGAUCAUCAGCUUCUUAUAGCAAAAUUCAAGCUUAAACUGAAGAAAGUAGGAAAAACCACUGGACAGGUAAGAUACAAUCUAAACCAAAUCCCUUAUGAAUACACAGUGGAAGUGAGGAACAGGUUUAAGGAUUUAGAUUUGCUGGACAGAGUGCCUGAAGAACUAUGGGUGGAGGCUCGCAACAUUAUACAGGAGGCAGCAACUAAAACCAUCCCAAUGAAAAAGAAAUGCAAGAAAGCAAAGUGGCUGUCCAACGAGGCCUUACAAAUAGCGGGGGAGAGAAGGCAAGCAAAAUGCGAGGGAGAUAGUGAAAGAUACAGGAAAUUGAAUGCAGAUUUCCAAAGAAUAGCAAGGAGAGACAAGAAAGCCUUCUUAAACGAGCAAUGCAAAGAAAUAGAGGAAAACAACAGAAUGGGAAGAACCAGAGAUCUGUUCAAGAAAAUCGGAAAUAUGAAAGGAACAUUUCGUACAAAGAUUACCAUAAUAAAGGACAAAAGUGGUAAAGACCUAACUGAAGCAGAAGACAUCAAGAAGAGGUGGCAAGAAUACACAGAGGAAUUAUACCAGAAAGAUAUGGAUGUCUCGUACACCCCAGGUAGUGUGGUUGCUGACCUUGAGCCAGACAUCCUGGAGAGUGAAGUCAAAUGGGCCUUAGAAAGCACUGCAAAUAACAAGGCCAGUGGAAGUGAUGGUAUUCCAGCUGAACUGUUUAAAAUUUUAAAAGAUGAUGCUGUUAAGGUGCUACACUCAAUAUGCCAGCAAGUUUGGAAAACUCAGCAGUGGCCAGAGGAUUGGAGAAGAUCAGUCUACAUCCCAAUCCCAAAGAAAGGCAGUGCCAAAGAAUGCUCCAACUACCGCACAAUUUCACUCAUUUCACAUGCUAGCAAGGUUAUGCUUAAAAUUCUACAAGGAAGGCUCAAGCAGUAUGUGGACCGAGAACUCCCAGAAGUGCAAGCUGGAUUUAGAAGAGGCAGAGGAACCAGAGACCAAAUUGCAAACAUGCGCUGGAUUAUGGAGAAAGCUAGAGAGUUCCAGAAAGACAUCUACUUCUGCUUCAUUGACUAUGCAAAAGCCUUUGACUGUGUCGACCACAGCAAACUAUGGCAAGUUCUUAAAGAAAUGGGAGUGCCGGAUCACCUCAUCUGUCUCCUGAGAAAUCUCUAUGUGGGACAAGAAGCUACAGUUAGAACUGGAUAUGGAACAACUGAUUGGUUUAAAAUUGGGAAAGGAGUACGGCAAGGCUGUAUAUUGUCUCCUGCUUAUUUAACUUAUAUGCAGAAUUCAUCAUGCGAAAGGCUGGGCUGGAUGAAUCCCAAGCCGGAAUUAAGAUUGCCGGAAGAAAUAUCAACAACCUCAGAUAUGCAGAUGACACAACCUUGAUGGCAGAAAGUGAAGAGGAAUUAAAGAACCUUUUAAUGAGGGUGAAAGAGGAGAGCGCAAAAUAUGGUCUGAAGCUCAAUAUCAAAAAACUAAGAUCAUGGCCACUGGGCCCAUCACCUCCUGGCAAAUAGAAGGGGAAGAAAUGGAGGCAGUGAGAGAUUUUACUUUCUUGGGCUCCAUGAUCACUGCAGAUGGUGACAGCAGUCACGAAAUUAAAAGACGCCUGCUCCUUGGGAGAAAGGCGAUGGCAAACCUAGACAACAUCUUAAAAGCAGAGACAUCACCUUGCCAACAAAGGUCCGUAUAGUAAAAGCCAUGGUUUUCCCAGUAGUGAUGUAUGGAAGUGAGAGCUGGACCAUAAAGAAGGCUGAUCGCCGAAGAAUUGAUGCUUUUGAAUUAUGGUGCUGGAGGAGACUCUUGAGAGUCCCAUGGACUGCAAGAAGAUCAAACGUAUCCAUUCUUAAGGAAAUCAGCCCUGAGUGCUCACUGGAAGGACAGAUCGUGAAGCUGAGGCUCCAAUACUUUGGCCACCUCAUGAGAAGAGAAGACUCCCUGGAAAAGACCCUGAUGUUGGGAAAGAUGGAGGGCACAAGGAGAAGGGGACGACAGAGAAUGAGAUGGUUGGAUGGUGUUCUUGAAGCUACCAGCAUGAGUUUGGCCAAACUGAGGGAGGCAGUGGAGGACAGAAGUGCCUGGCGUGCUCUGGUCCAUGGGGUCACGAAGAGUCGGACACGACUAAACGACUAAACAACAACAACAAUUUAUGAAGCAUUUUAAUUGAAGACAAUUGUAAAGCUCUUUAGAAAAUCACAUUUUCUUACCACCACUGAAGCGGAAUGACCUUGAAAGUGCAUUAUAGGAACUGGGUAACACCCACAACAAAAUUGCAAGAAUUAUUAGGUCAGAAAAGGAAGAUGGCAUUCCUGCCAACUAACCUUUCAGUCUGACAAGAUGUAAUUCUACACCUCUGGAUAUGUCUAAACAUUGAAGAUUAAUGCCAUCACAUUUGUUUAUCAGAUUCUUUAAAUGGGAACAAAAUGCUGUUGUGCAAAAAAGAAAAAAGAAAGAAAAGGAAGGCCUGAAAUAGGUAUAAGGAGGCCAAAGUAGAAAAUAAGCCAAAAAGAACCUGGUACAAAAGAGUUCUUUUUAAAAUAUCAAUAGCUUAAAGAACAUUCAUAAAAAUUACAAAUCAAAGUAUAAAUGGGGUAAUUGGAAAUUUAAAUGUGAUAGUGAUAGUUGGGUAGGCUCAGUACUUUUUUAUUUUGUUUUUUUAAAAAGAGGUGCUGGUAGUCAUAUCUUGAUAAAAGUAUGACAGGCCAGCACAAAAUGGCUGUCUUGUGUAGCAAAAACAGAAGUGGUGGUACUCUGUACCAGUGAGUACAAUCACUAAAAGCACUGGGCAGACCCAUAUAUCUUUCUUAAUGUUUGUACAAAUGUGCGGGUACAAUAAAAACAUUUAUAAAUGCACAAAAUCCCUCUGUGUGGUCUCCAGAGUUACAAAAUAAGAAUGUUGAGUCAUUUCUUCCAUUGUUCUGGUUUUGGAUAGAAGUGACCUGUAACUAAAAUGUUUAUGAUUACCCAGUUUUAGACCCCAAGGAAGGUUCAUCCACUACACUGAAAGGCAGUUACUGGGCAGUCUGCCCCUGUCAUGAACUUUUAAUAAGGUUAAACAUAUAAAUUUCCUUUUAUGGUUUAACUCCUCUGCUACUUUGGCCUAACCUCUGUGAAAAGAGUUGAACCACAGUUCCACUUUUCAAAUCGUGAAAAUUAUCAAAAUAUUUCCAUUCUUUUAUCAAGAUAAGUAUGUCAAACUCUUUCAACCUUUAAACAAUUGUUUUAUAACCACGCCUUAUUGUGAAGUCCCUAACAAUAAUUUCAACAGUAAUAUGAAACUAAGUGCUGGAUUCUGGUUUAUUUUGAUGCUUACAUGUAGCGAGGAGAAAAAUGGCAAGAAUGGGGCUGGCUGCAAUUGCAUACAACUCACACGUAUCUUGCUUUAUUAAACCUGGAAAUGUUGGUUUAGUGGUUAUGUGCAGGCACUGACUUGCUGUGGCAUGGUCCUCUAACAGGAUUUGUAUUUUUGGAUGGAAGUUGCUUGCUUUAAAUUAUUCCCAUGUGUCCUGAUCAAACCACUGAUCAGAAAGAUAACAUUAUUUUUCAGAGAUUUAAAACACACAGGUGUCCAUUUGAGAAAGGCAUUAUUACUAUUAUUAUUAUUAAUAAUAAUAAUAAUCUUAUUAUUAUUCCCUGCCUCUGCCAGUUUCCCUGAAAUGGACUCAAGGCAGCUUACAGAUAAAAAUAACAACAGCUAAAAACGUGGCCCAGGUUCAUUAAUCAUUGCUAGAAUUAAAACUAUAUAUCUAUACCUCUAUCUAUCUAUCUAAUUUAUUUGGAUUAACAGAAAAUUGGAUAUGUUAAGAGUUUGAUAAAAUUAAGAACGAAUAAUUCAGGGGAGAAAGUCAUUCAUUUCUGUACUAACAAACAUACUGGGAAUUCUCCUUAAGCUAAAAUAUUCAGAUUGAAGGAGAACCAAAGCAGGUAAAAUUUCUGCCACACUAUCUAAAAUGUUACAAAACAGAACAUAAUGGAAAGCAGACACUACACUUUAUUCUGUUUUAUAAAAUUUGAUUCUGCCUCUCCAUUGGCUUCAGACAUCCAUCAGAAUAAUACCAUCACAUGUAGUAAUGAAAAGCACCAGAAUCUUAUAUGUGAUGCUACUCCUCUAUACAGUUAGUACAAAACUGUGCUAAGUUUUGUUGCGCCAUAUUCCAAGGAGAUGCACAGGACAGGGAAUAAGAUGUCUCCAUUUUAAAAUCCCUAAAGCCUAGGGCUGGCAAUAACUUUUAUUCCAACUGCUUUUGCAAUCUGAUACAUCUGUUACACUCAGAACACUAUAAAUUUGUCACAUGUCAUUUAGCUUUGUGAGAGAAUGUGUCACUAGAACUGGCACGUCAUAGCUUUACAAGUUGUUGCAUUCUCAAAUUGAUUUUGUUGUUUAUGAAUUACAUAAAUAAAAGCAAUCUCUCUCCCUCGGCAUAUUAAGUGUUUGAUAAAAGAUACCCAUGCAAACAUAACCUCAACAGCUAGAAAAUAUUAAUACAGGUAGAAUAAUAGAGUCUUUGUUCUUAUUCUUACAGACAUGCAAAUGUUUUUGUUGAAAUUAUACAAUUCAACCUGAAAUGUACACGGUAUGUGUAGUUUUUCAUCCACAGUAACUAAAAUGUUAUAAGAGUGAACAUCAAUAGAAGCAGAUCACACAAUUGCUUAUUAUUUAUUAAAAUUAUACCCCAUUCUUCCUUCCAAAGAACCCUAGGGUAUUAAACAACAGGAAAUAACGCAAUAGAACAAAAAAAAAAUAAAAACAAUUUGGAUACAGAUGCAGACUGGGAAAGAUCUCUUGCUAAAUGACUUGUUGGAAAAGCAAGAUUUUCAGUAGAUGCUGACAAGGCAACAGAGAGUGCACCUGUCUAAUAUUCAGGGGAGGGGAUUCUAAAGGGUUGGUACACAAAACUAAAGGCCCAAUAAAGAAUGGACCUUCUGGUAAGAUGGCAUCUGCAGAAAGCCCUCACCUGCAGAGUGCAGUGAUUUGUUGGAUAGAUAACAGAUGAGAAAAUAUCUCAGGUAUCCUGGUCCAAACCCAGCACCUUGAACUUAGUCAGCCAGCUAAAUGGUGACCACUGAGAUCACCAGGGCUUCUAGUGUCAAAGACAGAUCCAAGAGCAUCUCCAGACUAAGGGAGCAUGAUCCCAUCCUAAGCAGGCAAUUGACCAAUUAUACAGGCUUAGGAACCACCUGCCCACAAUGUUUCUGAGCACAAUGCCCUUAAUAGCUUUGACCCUGUAUACCUGAAGGAGUGUUUCAGCCCCUAUUGUUCAGCCCAGACACUGAAGUCCAGCUCCAAGGGCCUUCUAGUGGUGCCUUCAUUGCGAGAAGUUACAGGGAACCAGAUGAAGGGCCUUCUCAGUAGUGAUGCCUGUGCUGUGGAAUGCCAUCCCAUCAGAUGUUAAAGAGAUAAAUAAUUAUAUGAUCUGUAGACAUCUGAAGGCAGCCCAGUAUUGGAAAGCUUUUAAUGUGUGACGUUCUGCUGUGUUUUUGUAUAUUCUCUUGGAAGCCACCCAAAGCAUCUGAGGCAACCCAGUCAGAUGGGAAGAGUACAAUAACAAUGAUAAUUGCUGUUGUUGCUGAUAUCACCAUCAUCUCCACCUUACCAGGAUUCAAAGUCAGUUCCUUGGCCUUCAUCCAGCCCACCACCAAGUCCAGGCAGUUGGUAGCUAUCAUAAACUAACGAGCCUGAGAUGUAUAUUUCUAGGAGUGAUUGGAUCACUGCCUCUUUCAGAACAGCUGGGACUACUCCCUCCCACAAGUGAAUCCAUGAAUGUGGAUAUGGCAUCAAGACUACUACAGAGGUGAGCAACAAGUUGAUCACAUAGCUUAGUUGUAAAUUCCAAUCAGAUCUACUCAUACAUAGCUGAUGGCUGUAUUUCACCCACUUCAGUUCACUUUGAGAUUAUACGUCAGUUGAAAACUUAUGCUAGAAUGUCCAAAACAGUGAUCUUCAAGAUCCUGACAAACCUGAAUUUAUUUUUAAUUAUCUAGAGGGUUAUAGUAAGUAGUAUGUUCAGGAAUGAAUACUGCAUGAAACUCAAAGCAUUUAAAUUCAAUUUUUGGUAGUUUCAGAACACCUAUCACAGGAAGCAUCUAUUACUAUUAAUUAAAUUAUGUUGUUGUUAUGAAAAUACAGUGGAAACGCGAUGAUUUAAUCAGAGGAGCACAGUUAGUGUUAAAAAUUUAAACAUCAUUGCAAAUUAAUGAGACAUAAGAAAGCUUUUAACCUCAGGGUUGCAAAAGUGUGGGGGCACUACAGGAGCAGAUAAAAUCUAUCUAUGCAGAGUAGGAAAUGAAGUGAAAAUUAGACACUUGUAAAAGGGAAGAACAUAAGCCAGACAUUCUUUUUAUCAAAUUUUUAUAGGCUGCCUUCUACCCACCAAAACAGGGGGCCUUCAAGGCAGUGUACAACAAAAAUAUGUCAUAAUGCAAAUAAAUAAAUAAUGGUCCAAUGUUUGACUCAGUAUACAGCAGCUUCCUAUGAUCCUAUGAAUAAAUCACCAAAAGCAAUGAACAGUAGCUGUAAGGUAUGAAAGCAGUACAUGAGCAGGAACAAAGGUAGUAAUUCCACUUACCUUCAGUGGUAUGUGGUUUCGUGGCAUGGUGACAUCCCACCAGUGGGAUUCCCUAGAUGAUGGGAGCUACUAACAACCUGUCCCACCAGCUUGGGAACUUUUGAAUUUGGUCCACUGCAGAUUGGCCAAUAGCAGCUGGACCAAGAGGCAAGCACAAUUGGGAUGUGCACUGGGCCCAUAACUCAGAGGUUGAUCAAUUGGAACCAUCCUCUGCUACCAAGGCAGUGGCAUGACAUCCUUGACCCAGCUCAUAUCAACUGGGCAAGAAAGAAAGUGAAUCAGACUAUGAGGCAGAAGGUGGAGCAGUUAGGUGGCUGGGAGAUUCAGCACCCUGAAAUCACGUUUGACAAAGAGACCCUCUGGGUGACAUCCAGUUCUCAGCAUCAGGGAAUGAUGUCUGAUUGAAAGAUAUUGUGGUUGGGCUAAAGUGUUGGCUGCAGAUGUGAGUGAUUUGGCAGUGAGCAGGUAUUUGGGUUGGCUUGGAUAGCUGAUAAGGCAUUGGGUAAAAGCUUUAGUCAGGGUCAGAUGGGAGGUUGUAAGCCUUUGUCUGCCCUUCCAAGGGAAUGGGGUAUCCCAUUAAAGGGAUCCUGGAGGAGGUGCUUCUGCCCCCAGUUGGGGGCACUCAAGACAAAUAUAUUUGAUACAUGUCAUAAGAUUCCCUCACCAUUGGUUCAACCCAUUGGUCAAUUAACCAGCAUAUGCCUAAUCCAAAAAACACAUUUGUAAUCAAUAAAGUUGAUGCCUAAUUUGAGCCACAAAAAAGUAUGCUGUCACAAGUGGUCAUUCAUUUCCAUACACGGUAUGGGAUAGCAGGUCACAGCGCCUGGGCAUGCAGCUAAUCAUGCCUAUCAGUCAACAAAUAUAAAUAUGACAUAUUUGUGAAUAUUGUGAAUAUCUUAAUUUCUGAAUGUUGUGAAUAUUUUAAAGUCAUGCUGCCCUCAGUUCCUUCCAGAGGAAGGGCAGGAUAUAAAUUGAAUAAUAAAAAUAGUAAUAGUAAUAAUUCAAAAUGGAGCAUAAAAUGAUGUCUGUCGUUACUCUGUAUGUAGCUAGAACUUUAUUGCUGAUUACAGUUGCAGCACUGCUCAAUGUGAAGCUUUCUUUAGCCAUGCCCAGAUUCAGCAGUUUCAUUUAGAAGGGGAAAGUGAUGGCAAUCUACGCAAAUCAUUCUUUGCAAUCAGCAAGGCAUCAUCUACCACAUCCAACCAUAUCACAAAGCCCUCCAGGUUUUCCUCUUUACAACACAUCUCUCAUCUUCAUGUUGGAUACAUGUAACUGGCUGGACUCUAUUCUACUUUACAGUCCAGCACACCAAUCCUACACUUCAGCAGCAGGCUUAUUUCCAAGAAAGUGCAUCAAGGGCUGCAGACUAUGGAGGCUGCUACACUGGCACCUUUCCCCAAUCUGAAAACACACAUCAGUCUUAAACAUACUGUUAUGUACUGAGUUGAAUAGGAUCCAAAAGGCAGCAGUCUGACUGGUCCUAGAACAAUAGGAUUCAGAAUGCAGCAGUCUGAUUAGUCCUAGAACAAUAGGGUCCAGAAUGCAGCAGUCUGAUUGGUCCUAGAACAAUGCAGCAGUAUGAUUGGUCCACAGGAGCCACCCAAUCCAGCUCCAGGUGGAAGUGAAUCCGCAACCUGAUUGGCCUACAGGAGAAUCCCAGAAUUAGCCAAUCACGUGCGGCCCAUUGUGUAAAUAAUGUAUAUAAAGCAGAUAUUUUGGGAAAACUGUCAUUCCUCACUACUAUGAGCUGAAUAAAGAGCAUGAAAUCCACACUCGACUCCAAGUAUAUUUCACACACAGAAAUAACCAACCUUUGUUUCAAAUGUGGUCAUUAACUAAAGAGUUCACAGUUCAGGGGUGGUUGUGAGUGUGGGGGAUGCUGCCAUCAACAUAUUUUUUGCCAUCACCAACACAGCAGUAUAUAAAUCCUACUUAAGUUAGUGGGAUGAAUAUGUGGGUAAUUGUGCACAGGACUGCAGCAAUAGCAGUUAAAGCAUAUUAAUAUCUAAAUUCAUCACCAUAAUCAUGUGUUUAGCUUAAUGUCUUCUUAAGUUCAAACUAGAAAAAUAUAAUUGUGAGGUAAAAAAUUCUGCCUAUCUUCUACUAGGCCGAUAUUUUUGUUCUCUAUAUUUGCAUUUACUAAACUGCAUCCUACAACUUCCAUUUUUUCCCUCACUUAUCAGACGUUUCUUCUUUUCAGAUCUUGCCAAAGGUAACCUUCGCAAACCCUGAGCUUUCAGGAAGGGAAGAACACACACCAGCUCACAGUUUGUGAUUGCUUUACAGUGUUACCUUAUGCUGUAUAUUACCUUGUCAAUUUAAACAGCCACAAAACGUUAGCAUUUUAUAAGGAAUGACCUUUCAUGCUGUGAAAUGCAAUUAGCAAUGCACUCUGGGGUAACACUGUCCUCUGCAAACAGGUGGUGAACUAGCAGCUGCAACUUUGAUACUAUAAUGAAAGAGAAGGACAACUUGAAGCAAU
rnacentral:lncRNA from 1 species